CCCGGCCGGGCUUGGCCCCCGAGCUCUUCCCUGCUGGCCUGCGGGGACCCGGGGCUUGCCGGGUGCCCUGCCCGCUGCCAGCCGCUGCGCUCCUCGGCCCACACUGCCCCCGGAUCUCCUGAGGGCCUCGAGCCGCGCUCUGAGGGAGCGCAGCUCCCCCCGCGCCGGUGGUUGCGCUCCCCGAGUUUCCCGGUGCUUUGGGCACCGCGGUGGGCUGCCAGGUGGGCAGCUCUUCGAUUGCCUGCAGCCAUCGCUCUGCACCUUGCUGUAAAGGUGAAGGCGGCCUCGUGUGUCUGGAAGUUGCCUGUUCUGUUUGAGAUGUCGGGUAGUCUGUUAGCUGUCAUCCCUGCCCAUAAGGUUUGCUUUGAAAACAUUCUCUGCAGAACACGUGUGUGAACUCUUCUCGUUCCAGGGUGUCAUCUCCUGUGCUGUAUUUUUCAUUGCCACGUGUUGCCUUGCUGCUCCCUGGUGAUUUCACACAUCCCUGCGUUACAAAUUCCUGAUUAACAGCCGAGUAUGGCGAGGUCAGAUGAGCAGGUUGAAGACAUCAUGGGACGGUGUUGGCCUGUGAAAUGGAUUUUCAUUGCCAUCAAAAGUCUUCUGUGGCUGUGGCACCUUUCAGCUGCUGAUGGAGAGGCAUGCUUUCUGGCUGUCCUGGUGCUUAGAUUUAAUGCUGAUGUUUGUUUUAAUUCUGGAAGUGCAGUGAUUAAUUAUGUGUCAAUGCUGCUGUAAAUGUGAUGAUAACCAGACAGGUUUAACGUAGUCAAAAUUAAUCAAAGUGGUAGUCUAAAGUAAGAAGUUGUUGUGGUCCAAAAUCAGAUUUUCAGGGCAAUGCACGUGUCUUCCCCCAGAUGCUGCUAUUUUAGUGCAGCUUCCAUUGCGUUAGGAGGAAGCACUGUCUGGCUUUGGAAGCUUGCAUUCUUCUGCAGGUAACUUGAAGUUGGAAGUUUUGGCCUUAACCUUCCAGCGGCAGGAAAAUACGGCGGUGCGGUGGCUGCUGAGAGUGCCCUGGGCCAUUGACAGGAUUGUGGAGCUGCAGGCUGGCAGCAGCUCCCACGAGGUGGCAUUGCAAUGCUGAAAUUCUGGGACCUCGCUCCAGCCUACAGAGAGCACUGGGUGCUUUUGGCUUGCUUGCGCUAUCUUGUUACGGGGCUGCACGACUCCAUUGUUGCUCUGACAGCAGAAAUGCUGUUACAGCUUGAUGUCAGGCCAGCAGCCGCGCGUUCGGGUGCUUAACAACGUGUCUGGGGAGAGUUAGCCUUCAGCCACCCUGGUAAAAGUCACUUUCCUCCUGUGCCUGGCUUAACGGAUGUCUCCUCCUGAUCGAUGCUUCCGUGCUGUGACCCUUUCCUGCAUAGCUUUGCUAUCUGCUUUUCAUGCCAAACCUGCCGCUGUGCCUGUGUGUGACUGCGCUGCUGCUCUUCCGGCUGUGAGAAGGAAUAAGCCCGUGGCAUCCUCCGGCAGAAGUUUGUCUUUCGAAUCACCUUUAAAAUUGCCUUUCAAAGGCAGCUUUUGCAGAAGCUUUACCAGGGGUGCGCCUGCCGUGGUUUGGAAGCAGCGUGCCCCCAGACAACGCGGAGCAUCCUUGCUUCCUGCUCCCUGGCACAGCUGUGCCCGCGUCCCUGCGGCUGGCCCCGCAGGGCUCCGCACUGGACCGCUCCGUCUCCCCAGCUUCCUACGCCAGCACGUCGUUACCAGAGAAAAUGCAAGCAGGGUGAAUGAUAAGCAUGACUGGGAGAUGUCUCCGUUGGCAGUUUGAGGCCUGUCUGCUGACGUUAAAAAAGGCUUAGCUCUUCCUUUGAAGAAAUUUGGUGCUGGAGGAGCUGGGGUCUUUUAUUUACAACCAGCCCUGCGGCAGCUCAAACUGCUCCAGGCUUCCCCGUGCCUGGCUCCACAUAUCUCUGGCCAUCCAGGAGCAGCAUGUGCUGCUCCUGGCCUGGGGAACGGGCAGGUGCAGUUGUCUGGCUCCUGACCCCGUGGAGAGGCUGGCCCUUCCUUGCAGGGUGUUGUGAUGCUGUGUUGAGUUGCUUUUGCAGGUAUCUCGCCUGAGAUGCUCUCUGGCAGCUGCGCUGGCACCCCAGGACACUGAGCACUGGAGGAAACAGGUUUGGGAGAAGAAGGAAAUUGCCCUUCUGAGUUGAGUCAUGGCCCAGGAAGGGAGAUGACGCAAGGAGUAAAGCUAAUAAACCAUAAAAUGAAGGAUGAGGAAUUUCCUCUAAGGCUGCGUGCAGUGCCAGGGCUUGUGAGAAAUCCCUGGACAUCGUGUGGAGACCUAGCAAGACCUAGCUUGGGGUCUAACUUGGUCUCUUGGCUGUGGUGUUAGGGUUUUACCUCCUGGCGUUUGCAGGUUUGCACUUCCCCAUGGUCUGAACGCAGUACCUUGCAGAAAAGGUCAAACUUUGGCCUCACCCAGUUCCACUGAAGAGCCCUGGGUCGCUGUGUCAUGCAGAACAGGAAUUUGCCCUGGGGAUUUUGCAGCUUCCCUGUCGAGGGCAGCCAGGCCCCCAGACUGUGAACUCCUUCCUUUCCGAAGGUGAGGCGAAGCCCCCUUACAGCAAACUGCCUGGGCCGAGCACCAGACAGCUGCAGGUGGCCGGUACAUGUCUGCACCCAGGUUGGAACGGGGCGCGCCGAUGGCGCGGAGCAGCUCGUGGGAGGAGCUGUCUGUGUCUCAGUGAGCUGCCUCCGGGCCUCCCGCUUUGUCAGAGCACAUUUCUCAGUGUCGCCUUUGUGGUUGAGAGACUCCGGGAGGCUCCGCAUUCAGCUGGGGCUUCCUGAUAGCCGAAAGCGGAUAUUUUCAUCGCCUUUUUCCCCCCUUGUCGUUUAAGCCACUCGGAUGCUGUUUCAUCCAGGGACUAAAGCUAACGCCAGCUCCGCGUGAUGAAAGCUUGUUUUGUCUUGGUAGUAAAAGAGCCUGCAAGGCUGGGCAAGUC